AAAAAAGAAAUUGACAAAACUGAGCCAAACUUAAGGGGAUAAAGGGGUACGUGGUAUACCUACAGCUUUCAAGCAAUGUCAGCGGUCUCUACGAUUCACUCAGCAAAGCAGUUCUCAACCAAAACUAUCUUCCUCUAAAAAGAGGCUGAGUACCCCAGCAACCGCUUCUUAUCGAAAGCCAUUUCCUAUACUCCGUGCUAGGCGUCUCACAGGUUUUUUUCCCCAGUCAAAUCAAUGCUAAUAAUCGGAAAUAGCAAGUUCUGAGAAACGCUAGCGUAGAAUGGGCGCACUAGGGGUAAGGGGAUGGGCCCCAGACUUCAGCAGCCGUUCUGGGAAGUUGCUCGCCUUUUUCGAAGACUCUAGCUGCAAAACUGGAAGCCGUCGGUGGGGCAAGGCAGAGAAGAGACCACUUCUGGCGGAUGAGUCCUGUGAUUAUCAGGUCACCUGGGUAACGCCCAACCACGACGGGCUGGGUCUCAGCGCGAGGCCUGCAGCCCGGCGCGGACUGGAAUCCCCAGCACUGCCGUCUGGAGGACAUCGGCGGUAUCUCCCCAAGAGACGGGAAGUCUGUGUGUCGAAGAGGCGCGGGACGCAAGCCCACCAACCUGGCUGACCCCAGGGAAAGGCCAAGCGUCCAGCCCGCGGGGGCCCAAGAUGGUGCCAGAGUUCGAGGCCCUCUGUGCAUGCACCCCGCCCACCUUCGAAUCUAGCCUGUUCGCCGUUGUGGUUUGUCCUCCCGGUUCCUCUGAAGGAGUUGGUCAGUAGAACCAUGGCCUCCAUUGACUACGUCCUCAGAGUCGCAGGUCUCUUCAGUCGAGCUCCAGUCACAGAGGACGGUUGUGGUGAGACCCAGGCAGAAGUAUUUCCGGUCAACGAGGUCGCGGGUAGUGCGCAUGCGCUUCGUGCAGGGCCCUGAGCAAAGGCGUCUGGGAAACCUUGCGUGAAGUGACACACGCCCUGUCCUCAGGGAGCUCACGGCCGACUGGGAAACAGGAGAACGGGUCAAACGUGGGACGCCCGUCAGCUAUACCCAAAG
rnacentral:lncRNA from 1 species